rnacentral:tRNA from 1 species
GGCCCUAUGGUCAAGUGGUUAAGACAUCGCCCUUUCACGGCGGUAUCCCGGGUUCGAAUCCCGGUAGGGUCACCA